GGUGUUGAAGGUAUUGAGGAGGCAGAUGAGGUGGCAAAGAAAGCAGUGCAGGAGGAAAGAGUUCAAAUUCAUUUGCAGUAUGGGUCACCAGAUUACACGGAAAUAAUACAUAGGUCAGUAAAAAGAAAUGUGGCAAUGUUCAUGGGAUUGUGAAAGGAGAACUUAUUCAGUACAAAGAAUGGUAGCAAAAGACAGAUGUAAUUAUAGAUGUCAGAGAAAAGAUGCAGUAGUCUCAUCCAGAUUGAGGUUGUGGCAUUGUGGGCUGAGGAGUGGGCUGGCUCUUAUUGGUAAACAUACUGGUGGAAAGUGUAAAUGAGGAGAGAAGGAAACAGUGAAGCAUGAAUUAGUGCAGUGUAGGAAGUACUCUCAUCAAAGGAAGAAACUGUUCAGGGAACUGGGAGCAACUGGAGCAACUUUUUUUAGUUUUCACUCUUUAUUGAAUUUUGACAGUUGGAACAAAUUGAAAAAAAAUGAUGGAGUACCUGUGAAAUAUUGGAGUAUAUAAAAAGAUAUAGACAAUUAUUAUUAAAUAAAUUGUAAAUAACGAUUAGAGAACAGAGGAGGGCAGCAAUACGCCAUGGUUGUGUGUAGCCUGCCAGAAAGAAGAAGAAGAAGAAGAAGAAGAAGAAG